GCGGGCUCUGGGAUGUGCAGCUAAUGCCACCUGGGGCUCUGGAGGGGAGAUAGGUGCCUUCAAGGUGGGAGGGCAGGGGUGGAGCAGACAGAGGUACUGGGGUCCACCCUGAGGAGGCACGACUAGUCCUCGACCCUAAGAGGGGUGCUUGGUGCCCAUGGGGGCCAGAGCACCAACCCCCUCUGUGCUGGAGAGACUUGGUCCAGCUUGGAGGCUGUAGAGGAGGAUGGACCAGGGUGGACCUGGCAGAGGAGUCCGGCCACCCAGGUGGGAACUGCUGAGAGACAAGGCAGCACGCGGAGGGCAGCUCCAGGAUGUCCAUAGCAGACCGUCCAGCUCCCACAGCAGAGGGUGGAGGUAGACAGAGAAGCUGACUCUGCAGAGGGACGGGGGUGCAAGACACAUGGUCAGGAGGCUCUGAGAGCUGGGGCAGCCUGGGACUUCCCAGCGGUCAGGCGACUGCUGGAAACCCAGCCUGUUCCUCACGGCGGAACGCGGUGACGCAGGCCGGUUCCCAGCUGGGGAACCCAAGCUCCAGGUCAGGACGUCUGCCAGCUCGGACAUCUCAGCUGCGUCUCAAGCUCACCUUUCCGGAGACCCUUGGUCCUCCUCUCCCUGCUUGUGCCUUGGCAGGAACUGGGAGCCAGGGACCAGCCCCCCCACCUGCCACCUCUGGGCUCCAGGAUCCCACCUGCAGGACAUUCCCCAACCCCCUGGCCCCACCUCUGCUGCUCUGCUCUCUGGAGUCCCAGCAGUCGGCUGCGACUCCAGCCACACGCUGCCCUCUCCCUGACCUCAGGGGCCUCUCGGGAGCUCCUGUCCCUGGCCCCUGGGCUCUCCUCUGCUCAGGCCCCACUGCCACGCCCGCUGCAGGGCCUGCACACUCCCCUUGGGUGAACACCCAUGCUCCCGCAACCCAGGUCGGGACACAGCCGUGACCCUAGGUGCCAGACACGACCUCCUCACACGGAGGCCCAGGCCUUCCUGCCCAGGGGGACCUGAGAAGAGGUUCCAGAGCCAAGCAGCUGCUCCACACCACCCCAGGCAGCUCUGGGCGCAGGUGGAGGCGCUGGAAGGGACCCCAGGUCAGGCUCCUCCUGCCUCCUUACUAGACGUGUGGACUCCUGAGCUGUGGACAGGACCUGGGCACAGGGGAGAGCCACAGAUCGCUGCAGCAAGGAAGACUUUUUGGGCUUCGGGGCCCCUGUACUCCGAGUUGGGCAAGCACAGCCAGAUGCCCUGUGCCCAGGGGGACGGUGUCCCUGUGGACAGAGGAAGAGAAAGCCGCAGGAGGAGGGCCAGGACAGCACAGAGGGGAGUGUCCCCGACCAGCUGCACAGCAGGGACCCACCGGAGGCGGACUGUGGCCUGGGACUCCCCGAACGCUGUCAGGGUACUGCCCACUGGGCAGUGAUUUGGAGGUAAGUAGGGAAGGUUUAUAAAUCGUGGCACAGUCCGGUCCAGGAAGAUUCAUGGGAGCCAAGGGGUGUGUGCAGGAAUGCCCACUACUGCCCAGGGCAGCACAGGACCCUGGAGACAGCCCAAGUUGUUCUCGGAAGAGGAACUGGUUCCUUUCGCUCCAGCUGUGCUGGGGUUGCAGCCCGGGGUUACCCUCCUACCUCAAAAGCUAGAAACAGAAAAUGUAUGAAUCAACUGUUUUCAGAAAUUGAGCAACGUGGGCACGUGGCCUUGGGAGGAGCGUCCAGAGUCAAGGGAGCUCUGGACUGCACCACCUUGGCCCAGAGCAGCCAGGGGGGAGUCGUGCGGGGUCCAGGUGCUCGGGACUGCUUAAGCAGCAUUCCAGAAAGGAGGGGACCCCAGAGACCAGAGGGUCCUCUAGUCCCAGAGUCUCCCAACUGCUAGGCCCCGCGGGAGAAGGAUGAGCCACAGAGCUGCCCGUCCCCAGGAACUCAGGGCAGCUCCAGCCCCAGCAGCCACUGAGGGAGGCCGUGGGGACCACUCAGGUGGUCAGUAGAGACCCCGCAGUGGCCAGUCCUUGGAGGGCAGCCAAACUGUCCCUAGAGCAAAGUCACUGGAGAUCUGCUCUAACAAACUUAUUUUUAAAAAAAAAAAAAAUCCACAAAAGAUCAAGGUGAGCCGCUAACUGAUGGCAUCUUUUAAAUGGAACUCCACCCUGGGGCCAGGUUAACAGAACAAGAAAACAGCGUUCGCCACAGAAGCCACCCACAGACUAGAACCCAGGGAAAUGUAACCAAAUGUCAGCAGAAAUAGGCCCCGAAAUGACAGCGAUGAUAGAACUGUCAGACAAGGACCCUGAAAGAACAAUUAAAACAGACUUUGAAGAAAAAGGGCAACAGGAUGAGAGAAAUAGGAGUUAUUAAAAAAGGACUCAGUGAAGCUUCCUGAAACCUGAAAUGAAAGUUAUGCUGAGCCGGGUGGGCACACCUGCCAUCCCAGUAACUCGGGAGGCCGAGGCAGGAGCAUGGCAAGUUCCGGGUCAGCCUGGGCAACUUGGCAAGACCCUGUCUCAAAAUGCAGAAUGGAAGGGGCUGGGAGUGUGGCUCCGUGGUGGAGCACCCUGGAUUCCAUCCUCAGUAACCAAAAAAAAAAAAAAAAAAAAAAGACAGGUAAACAUGCAUAAAUUAGUGUCUUCGAGCCGAGUGUGCACACGUGUUUUUGAUGGCUGCUGUAACAAAAGCCCCCAGGGGGGUGGCUUGGAGAGCUCUGUUUACCAUCUUGUGGUUCUGGAGGCAGGAGGUCCAGGAUGAGGCUCAUGAAGCAAGGCUGAGCAUCCUGCUGUUACUGCCUGCUGUCUGCGUACCACCCCCCCGCCCCCCCACCCCGCCCCCCAGCUUUGUCUGACCUUCCUCCUCUCCAGGACCAGUCCUCGUGGCCCCAGGGAGCAUGUGACCUGUGACCUUCAUCACCUCUCUCAAGCCCCCGCCUCUUAGGACAGCCUUCCCUCUCCCCUGUUCAGGCCUCCACCUGCCAACACCAGGUGGACAUCCAGGAGGACAUGGGCCAGUGUGGAGGAAUAGAACCGUCCAAAAUGAACUUCAAAUAGAAGGAAGAAGAAGCGGCACGUCCUCGAGGAGCCCCUGGACAAGGUGGGGCGUGGAACACCAGUGGACCUGGAGUCCUCCGCCGCCCCCCCAGGAAGGGAGGGAGACCACCUGAAACAACAGCAGCAGUGAUUUUUCUAAAACCAAAGAAACCCACCACCCACCAGCCAAGGACAAAUACAGGAAUGCACAGCCAGACAGGCGACAGGCAAGCGCUGAGCACAGCACUCAGGCCACUUGCACACCCAGAGCCGAGAUGAGAUGAGGCUGCAGGGACUUCCCCACACGGCCUUGGAAUUCUGCACACGGUGCACCCGCUGGUCAAGGAUGGAGUUAGAGGAAGACACAUGACUUGGACUUCACGACUUAAGCGCAGAAGCUGCCGCGUCACCUGCAGACUUUCAUUGCAAGUAAAUAGACUUUCCUCAAACACAAGUGAGUUGCCACAAAAACACUGCUAAGCUGGGCUUCUGGGCUUCAAAGUAUGAUGUUAAAGAAAUGAAAGGCAAACCACACGCUGCGGGGGAAUGCAGUUCAUAAAUCUUGUAUCCAAAAAAAUAUACAUUUAACAAACUCUUACAGCUCAAUGAGAAGAGAUGUCAGUCAGCUUUCAGUACUGUAAGACGAUACCUGAGAUAACCAUCUUAAAAAGAGGAAAGUUUUCUUCUGGCUGGAAGCUUCGGUUCAUGGCCGAUUGACCCUGUUGCUUUGGGUCUGUGGUGAGAGUCCCUCAUGGGAUGACCACGUGGCAGGGGAAGCUUCUCAGCUCAUGGCAGCUGGGAAGCAAAGAGAGAGCGGAAAGGCUGGGGUCUCCAUACCCUUCCACAGCACAUGUCCAUGACCCAACCCUCUCCUAGAGGGUCCCAGCUCGUAAGGUCCACCACCUCCCUUUGGCACCACCCUGAGGACCAAGCCUUGAGCAUGUGGCCUUUGGGGGCCAUUCCAGAUCCAAACAGACCAUUUUUUUAAAUAGGCAAAAGGUUGAAGAAGACACAGAGAGAGCUCAGGACACUGGCUCCACAUGGUGGGUGAGGAGGGAAAUACGAAUCAAAGCCACCGCGACACACCCACGUAUGUGUCACAAGGGUGUGGCGCGGGGGAGCCUUCAGGUGCUGCUGGUGGAAUGUAAAGAGGUGCAGCGGCUUUUAGCAAUGUUCUGGCAAAUUCUCACAGACCCGCCUUUGUCUGAGCCAGCGAUUCCACUCCUCAUAUGCAAACAAGCAAAGGUGAAUGACUUGUGGGAGGAGUUUGCAGCAUCCUGAUUCCUAACUACCGAGAACUGGAAACUUCCCCAGAGCCAGCCGCAGAGAACAGGUUAACCACUGACCCUUUGCUCAGCAGUAAGGGAAGAGCGAGCUGUGGGCAUGCUCGGUACCCCGCAAGAAUCUGGAUGCGGAGCCGAGUGAGGACACCACACGCCAGGCAGCCGGGCUGUGCUUAUGUGAGACCAGAGAGCACAGCCAACAGAGCACGGUCCAUGCCCGGGCUGGGCACUGGCUGGGAGGGCUGAGCGGACAGCACGGACAGACGGGACAGCUGCACCAGACCUUAUGCCCACAGCCCUGGCAGCUGCAGGUGUGCAGGGCCAGUUCUCCGGAGGCCCCUCCUUGCCCGCCCAGGACACAUUUCACAGACCCCGGUGCUCCCAUGUGUCCUCGCUUCAUUUAAGGGCGCCCACGGCCCCAACAGCCUCUCUCCACCUCAGCCCUCCUCACAGGCCCCACCUCCAGGCACCUGGGGUGAAGGACACUUCAGUCCACGCUGUCUCCGGUCAGACGUAAGUUCCCUGAGGACAGGGCUUGGACACGGGGGUCCCUCCAGCAGAGUGCCUCCAGACACCCAAGCGCACCUUCUCCUGCUGACAUGGGUGCAGCUUUGGUGAGGUGGUUGGCUAAGGGGCUCGCACACUCAUGCACACGGGAAUCCACCGUCAAACACACAUGCAACCCACGCAGGAGAUGGCAGGUUCCGUUUGAUGUCUGUGAGAAGCAGCCUGUGCGUGAACAUGUGCCUCUGAGUCCUCAGAGUGCUGGUGAGCUUCCAGGCAGGUCAAGGGAAGUCCGCCGGCUGUCUACUUUCAAUUCCACAUCUUUUGAAUAUGGUGCCUUCUCAAGAAAUAGGCCAGCAAACAUGGCCCUGAAGGCCUGGCCACCAGGCAGCCCCAGGGGACACACAACUUCCCGGUCAGGGGCUCAGGUUGGCUGCACAGCCCAUUCCCACCCCUCAGCCACAGACUAGGUGUUCAGUCCAGCCCUGUGCCCAGCGGCCACCUCCCGGGCUUGUGCCCACCGGUUCAGCAACACAGUAUCUGCCCACAUGUGGCACAUGUGGCACGUCCCCACAGGAGUGACACCACAUGUAACUGUGCUGUACAACCCCACUCCCAGGGGGCCCUGGACAGGAGGCCCACAGACACACAGGGCAGACAGAGGUCAGGGAGGCUGGUGGGGCUGUAGCCGGGCUGAGGAGGAAGUUCUGGAGAUGGACGGUGCGGUGGCCACACUCUCCAGUGGCUUCAGAAUGUCCAGAUAGGAGGUGCCAGACAGCUGGUCAUCUCCUCUGUGGGCUGAGUGGACGGAGUCUGGCAGGGGGUGCCUUGGCGAUACUCUGGCCCCUCCCUUCUUGUUCCAGUGAGUUGACCUGCUGGCCACUCACCUGGGCCUGCCAACUCUGCCCAGCCUACCCCAUGAGCAUGUCCAGUGCUUCCAGAACAAGGACCAGACCCCCACACUGGGUGUGUCUGAGCAUAGGGGUGCUAUGAGACUUCAGAAGAGUCGUCUGAGUCCUGGGCAGUGGGGACAUCCCGCAGCGAGGCUGUUCCGCUCAUCCCCAGGCCUGAAUCCUGGGUUCCCAGCAAGGUCCUCAAGCACCAGUGCUCAGAAUGCCCCUGAACAAGAUACGUGGUCAAACUGGGCAUGGUGACCACACCGAUGACCCCAGUGACUCAAGAGGCUCGAAAGUUUGAGGCUAGCCUCAGCAACUUAGCAAGACUCUGUCUCAAAAUAAAAAGGGCUGAGGCUGUAGGUUGCAUAAGCAAGGCUGGGUUCAAUCCUCAGUACCGUUAAAAAAAAAAAUCUGUCAUCAGGAACCCCAGUACUGCUUGCUGGGGCAGAUGAGCUUCCUGGGGCCACUGGCCUUCUGUAUGACCAACCGCCCUAUUGACCAGGAAAGCAGAGAGCUCAAGAAGCCACAGCUGAACCUGGCAAUCCCUCCCUGGCCCUGACCAGAGGCCCCAGGUGGAGCUGGGUUGGGGAGGAGCUGCUCUGUGAAAUGUCUGCCCCCACCCCCACCUCAAGGGGAAACGGAAGGCCCCCAACCAGCUGGGCCUCACCUUAAGUCCAGGGCUCCCCGGGCUCCAGGAAUCGUGCUCUAUCAAGCCCACAUGUAUGGGGCACCUCCUAUAUGCUGGAUAAGGAGCACAGGAUGCCUGCCAGGCCGCCCUGCCCUCGGAGGAGACAUGCUCCUGGGUGAAGGUGAUGCACCCUUAACUAAGAAGGUACAGCUCCGACCCUGCGGGCUGGAGCCCACCUGGCAUGAAGGCACAGGGACGUCAACAGACAGCCACAGACAGCUCGGGUGGUCACCCACUGCUGCCCCUGCCUAGCCUCAAGCCUCAGCCAGGGCACAACCUGCACGGGGAGCUCCAUUGGACCUGGGGUUUUCCCAGACAGAUGACUUCCCCGUCUGGGUCUCUGCCUCCCAGACCAACUUCCCAGAAUCUGCGGAAAUACCCGCCCAGACCUGGGUUUCCUGCUAUCCCCUCCGCCACCCUCAGCCAGGUGCCAGAGUGUGACCCCUGGUGGCUGCUGAGAACUGUGCAGCUGGGAUGGACCCAGACCCCUAGGACAGUCCACCUACAGCUUCUAUGUGAGACUCCAGACCUCCAGUCCUGCCUGCUGUGGAGGCUGCAGGACCAGGCCAGGAGCCACCAGGGGGCAGCAAAACCCAGCCCUGGCUCCCCAGCUGUCAGUCUGGGAGUUCCUUGGGUGGGGCUUCCAGUGUUGGGGAUGGGAUGGGCCCCACUCUCUGGGUAUCUUUAAGGACAUCCGACUCCCCCCAAUGCACCCAGGGGGAAGUGCAAGGGCUACCCUGGGUCCUGAUAGUCAACAGUGACACUAGGCAAGGCCAGGAAGUUGAAGAAGGCAGUGCUUACACAGGGAAUAAGGAAGAGACGGUGUCGGGCUUGUGUGGGGUAAAGUAAGUCUCCUCCAACACACCUGGGAGAGAUAGAAUGGUCCCCAGCUCAGAGCCUCCCUGAGGGUCUUCCUGGUCAUUAGGAUCCAGGGAUGGUGCGGGGCCUUCACUACAGGACCCAGGAAGAGGCCAGCAGGGGAGGGGUCCAGCCCAGGAAGUCCUUGGCACAGGGCCACUAGGGUAUGGACAGGGUUCCCCACCUCAGAGGUUGCAGGCAGCUUCAGUGAGGGCCAGAGAUUCAGGCAGAGGCUGCAGAUCAGCAUCUUUAUUCAAACUCCGUGGUGCUACAACUCUGAGACACACACCAUGCCCACAGCCCUCAAUACCCAGCAGACAGCCUCUGCAGGCCCCCGGCAUAGCAUCUCCCACCCAGCCCCGCUUUAACAUAAAGCACAGAACCUUUGACCAGCCCGGAAGGAGCAGGAUCCAGCCCCUGGCCUGGCUGAGAAGGCUGUGCCCAGGUCCUCCCCACACACCUGUCCCUCCCGGAGGGCCUGGCCCAGCUCCCCUGCAGGCACAAGAGACAGUAUGCAGCCUUCCGAGCACACAAAACCCGGCCCCAGGACCCCUUCCUUCAGCAUGAAGUCUAUCGCCCUUUUGAGAACUGCUGUGCACCUGUACACAGGAUGCACUGCUCGAGCCCUGCCCUGAAGCUGGGCACGGAACAGGUGGGGAGCAAAAUCCCUGCUGUGAGAGAAGCCAUGUCCCAGGCCCUCUCCUCUGGUUCCAGGACCCUGGCGCUGUGGUUCACCAGCCGGCCGCUGGGUUCCCUGCGGCAGAGGCUGCUCCGGCGCGCUAUCAGGGCGUGCCAGGUCUCUUGGGCAAGCCGCUCCUCGGUUUCCUGUGCACUCCGUGCAAGGAGAGGGUUAGAAGGCCUCGCCGCUGCGGCGGUCAGCUACAGAGGGAAGGGGGCCGAGCAGCGGACUAGAGGAGCAGGAGGCCCGCAGGCGCGCACCCUGCCCAGUCAGGGCAAAGCCCUGACCACCACCCUCGGCCAGUCUGGGCGCGAAGGUCACCUGGGACGCUGCUCCUCGGCCAGAUCAAGCUGUGAUGGUGCCCGGAGGGGCAGCAGGCGGGCAAGGAGUGCCCGCGGACCCCGAGCUGCCGCGGCACUGGACCACACGGGAGGUCGCUGUCGGGUUCUGAGGGCUGUGCUAGCGGGCCGUGGCCAGAGGUAAGGCGCCUUUAUAGACCCGGAGGCCGCGAGGAGGCUGGGGGCGUGCCUGGACGCUUUCUCACGCCCAACAGCCAAUCGGUGGCCAGGGAAAGACAACGCCCCCUUCCCCCCGCUGAGCUGGAAUCAUUAGUGCGCCCCGCCCCCAUCAGGUGCGGGGAAUGGGUGAGCCGGCCGGGGACACGUGGGUCACAGUCUGCGAGGCUCCCUGCCAGGAGUCCAGCCCGCCAGCACCCGGCAGGGGGUCCCCGUGGCCCAGCCAGGCGCCAGAACAGGGGAAGUGGUAAUCCCCUGGGCCUGCUUCCAGAGCAGCUCCUGGCCCGCCCUUAGCGUCCCGCCGGCCGCUAUCUGGCCAUCUGACCUCUCCUUUGGGGUCUCUUCACCUCUGACUGGUCUUCCCAGCCGCCCCACAGAGGCGAUCAGGCUACAGAGUGACAGGACAGUCCCAGAAAUGUCUGGGAUGGGACGUUUACACCAGACCCUUCAAGGAGAGGCUAGAACUGUGGCUCCCAGAGAUUCCCACCCACCUCCUACACCUCUGAUAGUGCAGGCCCCAGCAGCCAACUCCUCCAGGGAGCCCCCUCUGCCUUCCUCCUCCAGGCUGGUGGUGGUGGUGGUUGUGGUGGUGGUGGUGGUUGUUUUGUGCUGGAGUUUGAACCCAGGACCUUGCACAUGCUAGGCAACGGGCCCUACCACUGAGCUUCACCCACAGCUCUUUUGAUUUCCAGACAGACUCUCACUAAAAUGCUAAAGUGAACCGGAAUUUGUGAUCCUCCUGCCUCAGCCUCCGGAGUAGCUAGGAUUGCAGGUGCACAACACCCCCAGCUUUGGUCCUCAUAUUCUAAGGUUGUCAUUGUAGAUGCUCCAAAUUCCUGGGAGCAGGGACCCCAGAGCCCUCCACUCCAGCCCCUCCCAUGACCUGGUGAUUUAAACAGCUGGCCUCAGAGAGCCUCUUCCACUGGCCCCAAAAGGGGCAGUGCUGUCCCACAUCUCAAGUGAGGAAGCUGAGAUGAGGGAGGAGGUCUUCCCCAGGUCUCAGCCUCAUCAUGUUCCUCUCUGUCCCUCACACUGAGGGGCAGGGUGGGGGGCUGGGUGGGUAGGAGUGGAAGUGAGUGGCAGACGUGACAGGCGAGGCUUGGGAGCGAGGAAGUGCGCCAGCAGUGAGACACGCAGGCCAGGAGGCGCCGCCGCACUGUCCACUGAGUCUGGCUUGGGGGUGGCCAGGUAGCCUGUGGCUGCUGCUCUGCUGGCCCCGCCCACCUGGAGACCCUGAAUGGCCAGGCGCCUUUUGUGGGAGAGCAGCUGGCGCCGGCCCUUUAUGUGGGGCUGUGGGAAAGUCCCCGAGCCAGCCUCUCACAGCCUCUCAAAGCUGGGAUUAUCUCUGGGCCUGCAGGACACCCUCUCAAGGACCGCCGCCCAGCAAGGAUGGGGGCAGAGGCACCCCACAGAGGCCCUGUCCGCCAGGCUCUGGCCCCAGAAGUCCCUUGGCCACCCUGCUCCCUGCUCCACCACCCCACUUGCCAGACUCAGAAAGGCCCACCAGGGCAGGCAGGACUGCACAGAAGCCUGGGCUGCCUGACUCUCCAGGCCGGGCCCUGUGGUGGGGGGCAUUCAGCAGAAAGGCUUAUGGGGGCUCUCUUCCACCCCACCCCCAAUGCCAUAUGUCCACAGCCAGGAAGACCCCAGGCAGGUCCUGGGCUGUGGUCAGACACAAGGUGCUCAGGGCUAGAGGCCUGGCAGGGAACUGCAAACUUAUUUAGCACCUACUGCAUACAAGCUGAACAGGAUGUACAUCUCUCAGCCCAGAGUCUUGAGUGGGGCAGGACCACACUGCACUGCCUCCCUGAAAUCACUCUGGCCUUGCCCUGACCCCUUGGUCAGACUCCAGGCAGUCCCUAACGUGGACCUGCCAGGAAAUGGAAGGCAGAGGGAGGCAGAGGCAGAGCGUUGGCAGCGCCUGGCUGGGGCUCCAGAGCCCUGGCCACUGGGCGCCCAGUCUACCCUGAAUCCUCUGUGUACCCUUGGUACAGCCCCAUUUCACAGCUGCAGACACUGAGCCCCAGAGAGCCACGGCCCUGUGCCCGCAGCCCUCCCCACCAGGCCCUGCUGUGGCAGGGAUGGGGCGGAAGGCAGGUGUCCCUUUAGCACUCCUCUCACACCUAGCCAUGCCAGGGCCAGCGAGAGGGGACAGCGGGGCUGUGGGAACAGGAAGGCACUGGAGGGCCAGAUGUGCAGCCCCCAGUGCGGUUGCCCGGGAGCUGCUUCCCGGGGCCUGAAAGGCCGCCUAGGGGAGCCCCCACCCCGCCCACUGGGACGACUGCUCCCCAGAUGGCCUCUGGGGCCCCGAGCUCGGCACACAAAGCCCAGGCAGCCCCAUGGCGAAGGAGUUUGUUGCCGCACACGCGCCUUUUGUGCAAGAUGAAUGUCCUUGGCAGGGGGCGGGGUGGGAACCCACCCUGAGCAGGCCUCCCGCCCAAAUUCCCCUCUGGAAGGGGGGCGGGCCUGCGGCGGCUGCCUGGAAAGCUUGAGGAGCCAGCACUGGGCGCGCUGCCCUGGCAGCCUGCAGCUCUGCCCGGCACUCUGGGCCCUACGUGUGGCUUCAGACUGACCAGGCUCCAUGGCCAUGGACAUCUCGGAGGCCCCCUCCUCUCCCUCACACAGAGAAACAGGACCCAAGGCCGGCUGAGGGCUGCCACUCUCCUCUAGGUGGGGUGGGCUGCCCAGGGUGUGGGGAGUGCUGGACACUGCCCAGGGUUCCUAGGGGAGCAGGACCUUCUGGAUCUGCGGGGAGACCUUCAGGGCCUCUUCCCCUGCUUGAGGCCAGACCCAUCUCAAUGCUGGGGGAUAAGGCAAAGGUAAAGGUGGGGCCACUGACAGACCUCAGGAGUAACCAGAGUGAGCUGGACUCAGAGCCCCUCCGCUGCCCAGUAGCUCACCCAUUCCCUCCACAACGCCAUGCCAGCCCCAGACCGGAGUACAUGGUACCUGGCACACAGUAGCUACUUAAUAACAUGAGCGAUUACUGCCCUGCUAGGUGGGCAGCUUGACCGGCCUCCUCUGAAGCUUGGCCUUUGUGUUCCCAGAGCUGACUGGCCUCUAACUCCCUCCACUCGUUCCAUCAGACUCAGGUCCCAGAAGACCCCUGCCUGUGGUUGCAGGGAGCACCAGUUCUGGAGGGGUCAUGAGUGUGGGUCCUCCCUUUGGCCACCACCAAGACUCACCGAGGUGACCUUCAACAUGGGUUGGAAACCCCCUUCCCCAAUAGCUGGCUGUGACUGGACAGUGGUAAUGGGGUCGCCAGAUGUGGGAGCCUCUGUGGGUGCCAUGUCCCAAGAGAGUGUUGAUGAGGGGCGGCCCCUUAUGCUGGAGCUGAGCAGGGUCCUGGUCCUAGGGGGCCAGGGGAGGGGCUGGGAGAUCAGGGAUAAGUGCUCCUGCAGGCGACUGGUGGGCCACAGGAGGGCCUUGGUUCUCUCAGGCUCGAGUUCUCUGGGCCUCUCUUUGCCUGCCUGUGCAGUGGACAAGAUGAUGCUUGGCCUCCAGAGGUGGCCACUCCACAUGGAUGAUAGAUUAUACCCAUCUGUAAUCUCCUGGGUCCCCCCCCAACACCUAGAUGGCAGAGGCUCAUAGGCAAGAGGGUCCUCCCACCCACGCUGGGCAGCUGGCUGGUAGAGCUCGGAUUCUGGCAGAUGGGGACCGGCUGGGUGGGGGCGGUCCACCAGGCCCGUUGCACUGGGAGCUCCAACACUCUGCAGGCCAGUGGGAUAAAAAAAAAAAGGGGGGGNGGAGAUAGAAGCCCAGUGGAGGUGGAUUUGGGCAGAGAACGUGGAUUUGGGAAGAGAACGUGGAUUUCCCCAGAACGUGAUUGUAGACGGCUGGUGUGAGUUCGGGAAUAAAGAGUUGCUGUUUGAAUCUACAAGCUGUGUG
rnacentral:lncRNA from 1 species